UAUGAAUGCUGGCGGCGUGCCUAACACAUGCAAGUCGAGCGGUAACAGGGGUAAUUUAUUACCUGCUGACGAGCAGCGGACGGCUGAGUAACGCGUGGGAACAUACCCCAAAGUGAGGGAUAACUGCCCGAAAGUGUGGCUAAUGCCGCAUAUGGUCUUCGGAUUAAAGGAUUUAUCCGCUUGGGGAAUGGCCGGCGUACGAUUAGAUAGUUGGUGAGGUAAAGGCUUACCAAGUCUACGAUCGGUAGCUGGUGCGAGAGGACGAUCAGGCACACUGGAACUGAGACACGGCCCAGACUCCUACGGGAGGCAGCAGUGGGGAAUUUUGGACAAUGGGCGAAAGCCUGAUCCAGCCAUGCCGCGUGCAGGAUGAAGGCCUUCGGGUUGUAAACUGCUUUUGUACGGAACGAAAAGACUCUGGUUAAUACCUGGGGUCCAUGACGGUACCGUAAGAAUAAGCACCGGCUAACUACGUGCCAGCCGCCGCUGUAA
rnacentral:rRNA from 1 species